rnacentral:misc_RNA from 1 species
CAUUGCGAAAAGUCAUGCGACCUGCACUCUUUGAGAAGCAUAACUCUUUGAACGCACCUUGCGCGCAUCAACACGAGUUGGUGCGAGGUCCUGUUUGAGCAUGUUAUGAUGAUUUAGACUUGGCUGCCAACGCAUGCGUGGUGGCUUAAAAGCAAGCGGGAGCCCGAACGACUCUAGGGCAGCGAGACGAGUAGCGCGACAAGCACCACUACGAUUCUCGCAACCGCGUUACCAGUUGAGCAUGACUCAUGUGGAGCUCAACUGGUUGUUGAGCAAGCUCAACAAGCAGCAAAAACAUCUCAAAUCAGGAUAGAGGACCCGCUGAACUUAA